rnacentral:lncRNA from 1 species
CUACCCUCUCCUGGCUUUACUCGAUAACAAACUUACCAAACUUCAUACAGUCUUUAUCACCUACACCUCGCCCGCACUCGGCCAAAACCCGGAACCGAUUUCUCCUUCCACCGGAAGUCAUUGCCCUGUCCCGACCACAUUUCUAGUCGGGCCCUUGUGGCCGAGGCACCGCUGGCAAGGAGCGCUCCGCCCUCCCGGAUGCGGUCGCUAUGGUAACCAGUCUUUGCUUCCAAGGAGUUCUAAGCGUGGUAAUCAUCAGUGAAAAUUCAUGAAUUUGAGCAAGGCAGUGCACUAAGCAGGAGAGACAAAGAGUUGCUGGAGGAGUGCACAGAAAAGCGAAUCUGAACAUGGCCGCUCGAGGAGUGUUCUUGGCAGACGGCAGUGAAGCCCUCAAACCUGAAGAUACACCCUGUGAAGCCGACGUUUAUGUUUCAACAGGAGAGCCCUUUUUAGAUCCAUUCAAAAAAAUUAAAGGUUUUAGAUACUUGCACAAUGAGAAUGAACCUAAAUUCGCCAGCCAGAUAUCUUUAUGAUUUGUAUGGCAGAACAAUUAAAGAUAUUUCAAAAGGUAAGUGACAAAGAUUUUAUUAACUCUAUGAUAACAUUUCAAAAGGCAUUACAUAAUUUUGUUUUUACUUUGUAUAUUUAAAAGGAAAACAGCUAUAAUAAAAGUGUAGUUUUAACAUGUCUAAAUAUGUCA